CGGCCCGUAGCUCAACGGUGGAGCAGGCGUCUUAUACACGCAAGGCUUGUAGGUUCGAAUCCUACCGGGCCGA
rfam:Parcubacteria (Jorgensenbacteria) bacterium GW2011_GWB1_50_10 TY55_C0001, whole genome shotgun sequence.